AGAAUCAACGCUGGCGGCGUGCCUAACACAUGCAAGUCGCACGAGAAAGGGACUUCGGUCCUGAGUACAGUGGCGCACGGGUGAGUAACACGUGAAUUAUCUACCUCCGAGUGGGGAAUAACUGAGAGAAAUCUUAGCUAAUACCGCAUAACACUUACGAGUCAAAGCAGCAAUGCGCUUGGAGAGGAGUUCGCGGCAGAUUAGUUAGUUGGCGGGGUAAUGGCCCACCAAGACGAUGAUCUGUAUCCGGCCUGAGAGGGCGCACGGACACACUGGAACUGAAACACGGUCCAGACUCCUACGGGAGGCAGCAGUGGGGAAUUUUGCGCAAUGGGGGAAACCCUGACGCAGCAACGCCGCGUGGAGGAUGAAGCCCCUUGGGGUGUAAACUCCUUUCGAUCGGGAAGAUAAUGACGGUACCGAUAUAAGAAGCCCCGGCUAACUUCGUGCCAGCAGCCGC
rnacentral:rRNA from 1 species